rnacentral:rRNA from 1 species
UACAGAGGGUGCAAGCGUUGUUCGGAAUUAUUGGGCGUAAAGGGUGCGUAGGCGGUGCGGUAAGUCUCUUGUGAAAUCUCCGGGCUCAACUCGGAGCCUGCAAGGGAAACUGCCGUGCUUGAGUAUGGGAGAGGUGAGUGGAAUUCCCGGUGUAGCGGUGAAAUGCGUAGAUAUCUGGAGGAACACCGGUGGCGAAGGCGGCAUCCUGGACCGGCAUUGACGCUGAGGCGCGAAAGCCAGGGGAGCAAACGGG